UAUGCUGAUCUCUGAGAGAAGAGCCUCAGGCACAGCUUCAGCACUGCUGGCCUUCAGCAGUACCUUUGACUGCAGCCUUGCUCCUGGGCAUAAAGGCAAUGAGCCCCACGUGAGGGAUGGGUUCUGACUGGGAAACUCGUGCCUGGUUGAAUCAAGUGCCCAGGUGUGCCUCCUCAGCUGCUGGGAAUCAAGCUGUCCGCCCCUGAAGAGUGAGAGUAUCUGAUCUGGAGGGGAUCCCAGGUCUACUGCAGGGCACAAACAUGAAGCUUCAAACUGCUUGCUUCCUUUCUGGACUUUCAGUGCAGCUCUUCAAACAAAUAGUCUUUGACCAGUUAAUAAUUGAUGAAUUAUAGCUGUAUCAGUUGCACAAUGCUAUUGGUAUGACAAACAACCAGGAAGCUGUGCUAAAAGUAGGUCUUUGCCCAUGGUAUUUGGGUACUUCCCUUGCCCUUCAAGUGCACUGAUUCCGGGAAGCCAGCACUGUUUUUCUUCUGGGAUAGAGAAGAGCAGAACAGGAUGCAAGAGCCUUCAGCAGUGAAAGGAUUUACCUGAAAUGAUACCAUUAGGAUUCAUUGCAGCUUUGUCUCCAGGCAACAGCAAAUAUUUCUCCUGAAUACUCUGGAUGAGCAGAUGCCAACGUUGAUUCACAGGAAAAGGAUGUAGCCACGCAAGCCAUAGAAAUGUUGUUUGGGAUGGUAGCCACGGCCCCUAAGGAGACAUUAAGCAAUAUGGAACAAACGCCAAUGAAGCUCUUAAAGCUCUUGCUGUGUUUGCUAUAAAGAGAUUUCUUGAGAAGCCUUAGCAAUUUUCUGACCAGACAAACACUUCCAGUGUGGAUGAAAACAGAACCGGAGAUGUUUUGAAAACAUGCAGAAGUUUGUUUCAAAAGCGAGCAGUUGGUAAGAAAUAGAGGGCAGACAGCCUGGGGGAGGCCAGUGGUCCAUGGCCUGGCCUGUGGGGUUAUCAGUGUGUCAUCCAGACUGGCAGGGCCUUCCAGUGAAUCAUUCAGACCUUCUCUUUUAACUGUGGCAGGGCUGCACUCCCUGUUGUCACACCACCUCUCAGGCAGAGGGGGUUGACUAUUGAUAGCCUUGAAUGUCUCCAGCACCGAGGCGUGCACAGCAUUCCCUUGUCAGGGAGUUCCAAGGCUCAGGCAGUUUUAACUUCUCUGUAUUAACUUAUACUGAACCUGAAUGUCUCCUGCAGAGGUUUGUGGCCACUAACUUUUUGUCCUGUUGCCUUUGAUUAACAAGACUGGAGCCCAAUUUCCAGACAAAGUCCUGCAAAAUGGCACGUGUGGUUUUACCUUUCAGCUUUCCUGCCAGCUGUUCUCUUCUCCAGCCUGUUCCCAGGGAAUGUCAUUUUCAAAACAUUUUCAUGCUUCUCUUCACAUGCCUGCUAGAAAUAUAGGUGGUCCUAGACCCACCCUGGACUUUCAUUUUAAGCCUGGCUCUGCACUUGGUGAUGCUGUCCUGCCUUUGGUUCUUGAGGUGCUAAAUUUAACCUUCCUGACCUAAUGUGGGAUGAGGUCAGGAGAAAAGCACCAUGUCAAAUUAUACUGGUUCUGCUAGCAAUACAGUGGGAAUCAGAGUUCCACCUCCUGUCACAGCACUGUGCUGCCAACCAGGGCCCUGCCCCAUUACUGUGGGCCGUCCUGGCUGCCCUCACUCAGCCUGGCCCUGGUGGGUGCCUCAUUAUGCAGAGUUUAUCCCCAGUGGCUUGCAUGUAUGAAUAAGUGUGCAUACCUAAUAUCUAGUAACUAGCUCUGCUAUUAGCACUGUGCUUCACAGCACCCAGGGUCCCUGGGCUGUCACCCCGCUGUCAGGCUGGAGCAGCCUGGGGCCCCCACCAGUGCACUCAAAGGAAGCCAUACUCCUGCCCUUUGGUUUUCCUCAUGAAGGAGAGACAUUAUUCCCUAUCCCCAGGGAACAUCAGCUUUGAAACCCGGAGCUGAUUUGUUUCCAUUUACCAUUAUCUUGGUUUAAGUAAAUUACAGCUCUUAACAGCAGUCAUAAAAUUAUCUGGCUUCAAAAAAAUUCAGCUGUAGAAUUUGGUCCUGUGGCCUCCCUGAUCAGCUCAUUUCCAAGGGGCAAACAUGCACUGGGAAAAGAAACGAUCUUGUUCAUCACAAAUGGCCACCUCCCCAUUGUAUCAGUAGCUGCCUGCUUAGUGUUGCUCACUGUAGAAAAGUACAGCAAACUUUUCACCAUGCACUGCUUCACCCUUCUGAAUUACUCUGCCAAGGUAUUUAAACCAACCAAGUCAUCCACCAUCCCUCACCAGCGGCCACCACGUCACCAACAUUUUAGAAUCAGGUUCUGCCCUGGAGAGGAGGUUCCUUGGCAAAGCAGUGAUGAUCCUCACUGCGGGAUUUUGGAUCACCUCUGGCUAUACUGCAAGUAAAAUAUUUUCCCUUAACAUCUGCCUCAUCUGAAAGGUGAGUGGCAGGCUGGCUGGUUCUAGGAAUCUGGAAGCCGAGUGGCAGGCUGGCUGGGUUUAGGAAUCACUCUUGACCUGUGUUAGGAUUUCAGCAACGAGAAUCUGGUUUCCAAUUGUGGUACCAUAAGGAAAGAGGAUAGACCAGAUGCUUAGCGUAUCCAAAUAAAAACCCCAAACCAAUAAAAUCUUAUUUUAGUUGCUAAAACAGAAAUUAUGAGUCUAAAUACCCAUAAGGAGUAGAUGAGCUGGACAACCAGCAAUAUCAGACAAGCAUUGUUCUAGCAAUGGUAUCUGCGCUUUAUUUCUGUUGGUGAGUGUAGGCAGUGAUGUGUCUCUUUCUUCAUUCAAAAACUGGCAGAUAGCAAGGCCAAGAUGACAAUUUAUAUAAUUAGAAUUUCAAAAUAAUAUAUUAUGCCCCAUUUUCUGGUACAUAGAGAUUAACUGUGAAAAGGCAGAGCUGGCAGAAAUGUGGAUUUCUUCAAUAUUUGCACAUCUUGCUAUGUGCUCCCGCUGGUAGGACUGGGAAUGCCAUGACUUUCCCGCAUGUGGCAAUGAAAAUUGAUCAGGGGUCCAGCCUGCUCCUCUGCUUAAGCUAAGUAAAACACAAAAGUGGACAAGAAACAUGAAUGCAAAAAAGUAAAAUCCAGUCCAGCUCCAGGUAAAGGCAAUGUAUCAGCUCCUUUUCAGUACUCUCUGACACAUACAAUUGGUCCUUGAACUGCUGUCAUUUGGUCUGCUAGAAAAACAAAUCAUAAUGUUCAAUAUGAAGCAAACCAGGAAGAGAGGAAGAAACUGCAAUUCAGCAGUAAGCAUCUGAGCAGUGUGGAGCAAGUGCUGGUGGGGACUGGAGCCUGCAAAUCCAGCCAAGGGCCCCUAACUCACAGGCUGUGCUAGAUCUCAUGUGAUUCCCAAAUGCAGUGGGGAAUAAGGGACAGGGAAAAACCUGCUCUAGGAACUGACUGUAUUUUGUCCAGCACUCAACAGCUGUUUUGGGUCUUACUUCGCAAAAGAUUAAAUCAUUUUUUUAAAAAAUAAAAGAAAAAAAAAAGGAAACAUAAAAGAGUGAUUGAAAUUGAGAUGGGGAAAAGAAAGUGUCCCAAAUAAACAUGUUUUUGAUGGAGGAACUGGGUUUUUGUACCCUAGCACUGUUUGUACUUUCAGAUUGUCAGCAAUCUGUAGCGUGCUGAGCAGAGGACAGUGUGGUGGAAAUACCUAUGAAGCAGUGAGAGCCUUAUCAAGGUACUGUACCAGGAAAUACAGCGCUUUCUUUCCUACUUCAUGCACGAUACUGUGAUUAAAACCAACAGCACGCCUCAUCAUAACAUGUGCCUUAUCAGCCCCACCAUCUGAUGACAGCAGCAGCCCUCGGCAGAGCAGACUGACAUCAUCCAAAACCUCAGGAGCUCAAGACCCAAGUAUGUAGCUAGGCUGCAAGCUGUGCUGAUCUGUUUGUACUAAACUUGCAGGUACUUUGCUAGAGGAAAAGGAAUACAAAAAUCAAGCCCAAACAAUGUUUCUGAAUGUUCCUGACAGGCCGUAGUGCAAUUUAGCAAACGAAUGCAGCAGUCAGAGGAGGUUUUUGCCCUCAGCAAGUACCACAAGUCUGCUCCACAGCUUUCUGUAGCUUUGAGGGGGGGGGGAAGGUCAAACUAAGACAUUGUCGCUGCCUUGGGGACGGUGCCACUGGUGAUUUGGUACAGAGCCCCACUUCCAGCUCGGGCUGGAAUUCCCCCACGUUCAGUUGUGUGUGGCUGUGAGGUCUAGGUUCAUCCUAUGUCGGUGGAGCUCUGAAUCUCUAAACUUUAUCAUGGCUGGUUCAUUGCCAGUCUUCUUGUUGGGUUACUGCUAGCUCACAAGGCAAAUCAUACUGGCUCUGGCCUUCUGGCCUCCUUUCUGUAAUUUAAAAUGAGAAUUUCUACAGUCACAAGAGAAACAGAAAAUAGAGUACGCUUUUCUUGUGUAACAUUCAGCAAACUUCUCUGGUUUUAAUUUGUUCUCCCUGUCCUGGGUUCUUCAAAACACCUUCUCUCAUUUACGUCAGCAUAGAUUUACCACACCCCAGUUAUUUCAGACCUGGAUAGCAGCAUGGAAAAAGAUUACCAGUCAUCUGGAGCUGCUUCCUUAUGCCUUGGACAAAAGAAGAUCAUAUGGGACCACAUUCAUUCAAGAGCUGCCUUUGUGUUUGUACAGAACCCAGCAUGAGUGAGCCUACUCCUUCUUCCAGUUCGCCCUGCUACAAAAUUGUUCUUAAAAACACCCUCUGCUUUUAAUGUUUGGGUUUUGGUUGGUUUGUUUUUAGCUGCAAUGCAAGCUUUCAGAGGGAGAUCAGGCCAGAUUUAAACGCUGAAUGCAUGCAUAGCUGCAAAGCAGGGCGACCCAGCACGGCUGCGGAGU